rnacentral:rRNA from 1 species
AUUGAACGCUGGCGGCAUGCUUUACACAUGCAAGUCGAACGGCAGCGCGGGCUUCGGCCUGGCGGCGAGUGGCGAACGGGUGAGUAAUGCAUCGGAACGUGCCCAGUAGUGGGGGAUAGCCCGGCGAAAGCCGGAUUAAUACCGCAUACGACCUGAGGGUGAAAGCGGGGGACCGAAAGGCCUCGCGCUAUUGGAGCGGCCGAUGUCGGAUUAGCUAGUUGGUGGGGUAAAGGCUUACCAAGGCGACGAUCCGUAGCUGGUCUGAGAGGACGACCAGCCACACUGGGACUGAGCAACGGCCCAGACUCCUACGGGAGGCAGCAGUGGGGAAUUUUGGACAAUGGGGGCAACCCUGAUCCAGCCAUGCCGCGUGCGGGAAGAAGGCCUUCGGGUUGUAAACCGCUUUUGUUCGGGAAGAAAUCCUCUGGGCUAAUACCCCGGGGGGAUGACGGUACCGGAAGAAUAAGCACCGGCUAACUACGU